rnacentral:rRNA from 1 species
GACGUAGGGCGCGAGCGUUGUCCGGAUUUAUUGGGCGUAAAGAGCUCGUAGGCGGCUUGUCGCGUCGUCCGUGAAAGCCCAUGGCUUAACCUCGAGAUGUCGGCGGAAACCAUCUGGCUAGAGUCCGGAAGAGGAGAGCGGAAUUCCUGGUGUAGCGGUGAAAUGCGCAGAUAUCAGGAGGAACACCCGUGGCGAAGGCGGCUCUCUGGGACGGUACUGACGCUGAGACGCGAAAGCGUGGGGAGCGAACAGG